rnacentral:rRNA from 1 species
CUACGGGUGGCUGCAGUGGGGAAUAUUGCACAAUGGACGAAAGUCUGAUGCAGCAACGCCGCGUGGAGGAUGACACAUUUCGGUGCGUAAACUCCUUUUAUAUAGGAAGAUAAUGACGGUACUAUAUGAAUAAGCACCGGCUAACUCCGUGCCAGCAGCCGCGGUAAUACGGAGGGUGCAAGCGUUACUCGGAAUUACUGGGCGUAAAGAGCGUGUAGGCGGGUUUGUAAGUUGGAUGUGAAAUCCUAUGGCUCAACCAUAGAACUGCAUCCAAAACUGCUUACCUAGAAUAUGGGAGAGGUAGAUGGAAUUUCUGGUGUAGGGGUAAAAUCCGUAGAGAUCAGAAGGAAUACCGAUUGCGAAGGCGAUCUACUGGAACAUUAUUGACGCUGAGACGCGAAAGCGUGGGGAGCAAACAGGAUUAGAUACCCGAGUAGUC